rnacentral:misc_RNA from 1 species
CCGGUGGGCGCCGGGAAACAAUUCUAACCACACCGGCAAUAAUCUCGCGCCAAAAAAACAUAUUCACAUACGCGACGAGAUUAAAUGAAUUUUUUUUCAAUAUACAAAUUUUUGACAAAAAAUAAAUAAAUAAAUACUAAAUUAUUUAUAAAUAAAAUUUAAAUUUAGUUGUAAUUUUAUUUUAAAAGUUUUUAUCGCAAAUUUUAAUUGAAUUUAAAAUUUUUAUACUUGUGAAAUUAUUAUUCAAAUUUUUAUGUAAUUAUAACACGCGUGUUUCAAGACUGAUAAUAAAUACCUGGUGAUAUUUUAUAUUAUUAUUUUAUUUAUUAUUUUAAUUUAAAAAGUGACAGUUUUUUUUAUUUUUUGUAAAGCAAAAGAUAAUAUAACCGGCAUCGAGGAUGCUUGCCAGCUGUCUUCUUAUUAUUGGGACUGUUGGAGUAGUCGAUUCAGCUAGUGGUCAUGGUUUUGAUGCACACUUGCGUGGACCAAGUUUUAUUAUAGAGCCACCAUCAAGAAUUGAAUUUUCAAAUUCAAGUGGUGCCUGGCUUGACUGUGCGGCAUCCGGUACACCACCUCCAAAUAUUGACUGGACAACGCCUGACGGACAUCCGAUCGGUGAUGUACCCGGCGUCAGAAGAGUUCUUAGAAAUGGUACUCUCGUUUUAUUACCAUUUCAAGCUGCGACAUUUCGACAGGAUGUUCACAGUGCUGUCUAUAAAUGUGCUGCUAGUAAUUCAGUCGGUAGAAUUCUCAGUCGUGACGUACAAGUCAGAGCAGUUGUGACACAGGGAUAUACAGUAAGAGUUGAAAUUGUUGAAGGUGUAUCAAGAGGAUGUACAGCAAUAUUACGUUGUAUUGUUGAGAGUCAUGUUAAGGAUCUUGUACGAGUUGUGUCUUGGCUUCAGGAGCCAUCAUUUCAUAUUUAUCCAUCACUUCAAGGAGAUGGUAAAUUUCAUCUUUUACCAACUGGUGAACUUUUGGUUCAUGGAUUGGAAUUUAGUGAUCAAUUUCUCAGCUACAGAUGUAGAACAAUGCACAGACUUACGAGACAGGUAGUUGUUAGUUCAUCAGCAAAUAUAAGAAUAGCAGAUCAUCGAGGAGUUGUACCACCAUCAAUUUUAGAUCAUUCUGGUACCAUAUACGUUGGUCAAGAUGAGUCUGCAUCUCUCGUUUGUCUUUCAAAAGCAUGUCCAACUCCUGAAUACAGAUGGUAUGCUCAGACUGGUGCUGAACAAAUGCCAGUAUUAUCAGGACCUCGUACGAGAUUGCUCGGUCCAGUGUUGGCGAUUGAAGCUGUCACACUGACAGACAGUGGUAUCUACCAAUGUCUAGCAUCCAAUCUCGGUGGUGAAACUAGUGCUGAACUCAGACUUGUAGUUACUGCACCUCUAAAUGUUGAAGUAUCACCAUCAUUAUUAAGUGUACAUCUUGGUGGUAAUGCAGAAUUUCAAUGUGUUGUUGGAUCAACUUCACAAACAGGACAACAUGUUAUAACUUGGUAUAAAGAUGGUAGACAGCUUCCUGGUGCUGGACGACAAUCUGAAACAUUGACACUCAAUGGAAUUGGUCGAGAGGACAGGGGAAUGUAUCAAUGUAUUGUCAGACGUGGUGAUGAUACAGCUCAAGCAUCUGCUGAACUUCAACUUGGAGAUGCUCCUCCAGUUCUUCUCUACUCCUUCAUCGAACAGACACUUCAACCAGGUCCAGCAGUUUCACUUAAAUGCUCAGCAGCUGGUAAUCCAACUCCCCAAGUUACAUGGGCCUUGGAUGGAUUCUCUCUGCCAACAAUCACAAGAUUUGUUAUUGGUCAGUAUGUCACUGUUCAUGGUGAUGUAAUAUCACAUGUUAAUAUCAGUCAAGUGAUGGUAGAGGAUGGUGGUGAAUAUUCUUGUACAGCUGAAAAUAGAGCUGGAAAAGUAACACACAAUGCACGUCUCAAUGUUUAUGGUUUACCAUACAUCAGAAUAAUUCCAAAAGUAACAGCAGUAGCUGGUGAAACAUUACGUUUAAAAUGUCCAGUUGCUGGUUAUCCAAUUGAUGAAAUAAAAUGGGAACGUGGUGGUCGUGAAUUGCCGGACAAUUUACGUCAAAAAGUCAUGGAUGAUGGAACGUUGAUUGUGUUGAGUGUACAAAAAGAAUCAGACACUGGAACAUAUACAUGCUGGGCACGAAAUAAACAAGGUCACAGUGCAAGAAGAUCUGGAGAUGUAACUGUAAUUGUUCCCCCAAAAAUUAGCCCGUUCUUCGCAAAUCGUGAUCUACAUCUUGGUGAACGUACAAGUUUAACAUGUUCAGUGACACGUGGUGAUCAGCCAAUAAGAAUAACAUGGCUCAAGGAUGGAAGAGCACUUGGACCAUCUGAGCGUGUUUCAAUCACCAAUGUUGAUCAGUACAAUAGUAUGCUGAUGAUUGAAAGUUUAUCUCCAGAUCACAAUGGAAACAUUUCUUGCCUUGUAGCAAACAAUGCUGGCUCAACUAGUUAUUCAGCAACACUUGUGGUUCAUGUACCCCCUAUUAUUGAGCCAUUUAACUUCCAAGAGGGACUUUCCGAGGGGAUGAGGACGCGGACGGUGUGCGGGGUCGCGGCGGGUGAUCCACCCUUAACAAUAUCCUGGCUUAAAGAUGGUCAUUCUCCUUUUCUUUUAUCCCAAAAAUCAACGUCUGAUACAAACAUCUCCCAGCUGGAUCCUUACUCAAGUCUACUAAGUAUAUCAAAUCUCGCGGCUGAGCACUCUGGGUUAUGGGAAUGCAUCGCCGCGAACCCCGCCGCCGAGGUCAGGUACACGGCCAAGCUUCAGGUAAAAGUACCACCUCAUUGGCUAGUUGAACCAAUGGACACAAGUGUCGAAAGAAAUCGACAUGUAUCAUUUCAUUGUCAAGCACAGGGUGUUCCACCACCAGUCAUUGUUUGGAAAAAGGGAACAGGCAGUAAAUCGGGUGAAUACGAAGAAAUGCGAGAAAGUUCGUAUACAAAAUUACUGAACAAUGGUACUUUAGUACUUCAACAUGUCAAGGAAGACAGGGAAGGUUACUAUCUCUGUCAAGCCAGUAAUGGUAUUGGUACUGGCAUUGGUAAGGUCGUUCAACUUCGUGUUAAUUCUUCACCUUACUUUGCUGCACCAUCAAGACUUGUCACAGUAAAAAAAGAUGAUACUGCAACACUUCACUGUGAGGUUCAUGGUGACCAGCCAAUAACUGUAACUUGGUUAAAAGGUGGAAAAAUUGAGUUGAAUCCUUCAACAAAUUACAGAGUUACUGUACAAACAGAAAUUAUACCAGACGGUGUAGAAGCACAGUUGCAGAUAUCCUCAGCGGAAGCAUCUGACAGUGCUGGCUACUUUUGUCAAGCAAGUAAUCUCUAUGGUAGAGAUCAACAGUUGGUUCAACUUUUAGUUCAAGAACCACCACAACCACCCCAUACCCUAGAGACAGCAAUGAUUGCAGCCCGUAGUAUUAAUGUUAAAUGGCAACACAGAGGACAAGAUACAAGUGAAGUAUCAAAAUAUAUAUUACAAUGGAAAGAGGGUGAAAGUGGUAUGUGGCAACAACAAGAAUUAACUGGACCACCAUUACCAUAUGCUGCACUUAUUGAUGAUUUAAAACCAGCAACAAAAUAUACAAUAAGAAUUAUUGCUGAAGGUGCUGCUGGACGAUCAUCACCAUCAGCUGAAUUAAUUGUUAAAACAGAACCACAAAGACCUGCUGGGCCACCAAUUAAUAUUUCAGCAAAGCCAAUAUCACCAAAUGAAAUUAUUAUAACUUGGUCACCACCACUACCUGAACUUCGUCAUGGUGAUGUUCAAGGCUUCAACGUUGGAUUUAGAGAAUCUAGUGGUGGAAAUCCAUCGUACAAUUUUACUUCAGUCCCGGGAGAUGGUGAAGAAGGAGGCGGUGAUCUACAUCUCAUGGGGCUCAGACCUUAUACAAGAUAUACUAUUGUUGUUCAAGCUUACAAUCAAGUUGGAUCUGGACCAUUGUCUGAGCCUCUUCCUACACAAACACUUGAAGAUGUACCUAGUAGACCACCGGAAGAUGUUCGUUGUGCACCACUAACAUCGCAAUCACUACAAAUAUCUUGGAAAACGCCUCCGGCUGCUUACACCAAUGGCAAUAUACAGGGAUACAAAUUAAAUUACGAACCUGUCUUACCAGAUUCUUGGAGUGGUAGUGAUGAAAUGGAAACUCGUAAAACUGGAAGUAUGACAAUGACACUUGCUGGACUGAGAAAAUAUACAAAUUAUAGUAUUCAAAUACUUGCAUAUACACGUGUUGGUGAUGGUGUACCAACAAGAACAAUGUACUGUCGUACAAAAGAAGACGUGCCUGGAAGUCCAGCGGAUAUUAAAGUUGUCGUGAGUUCGCCUCAAGCACUUUUUAUAUCAUGGCUACCACCACUAGAGCCCAAUGGCGAUAUUACAAAAUACAAUCUUUACUCAAGAAUAAUGGAUGGUCGAGAAGAAUUAAAUCAUGGAAAACGAGUUUUACCAGCGACAAAUUUAUUUUUUGAAGUAACUGGUCUUCAACAACACGUUGAAUAUCAGUUUUGGGUAACAGCAAGUACUCGUAGUGGUGAAGGACAAAGUUCAACAGUUGCUGCUGCAAUGCCAAAAAAUCAUGUUGCAGCUAAAAUAACAUCAUUUGGUGGUCAUACUGUAAUGCCAUGGCGUGGAACAAUAACAAUGGCAUGUCAUGCUGUUGGUGAACCAACUCGAGAAUGGUUCAAAGGUCUUUCUGAUCAAAUUCACAGUGAUUCCGCUAGAAAUAUACAAAUUUUACCAACUGGAGAACUUAUUUUAUCAAAUCUACAGCUACAAGAUGGUGGAAAUUAUACAUGUCAAGUUGAAAAUGCCUUAGGAAGUGAUAGAUUACAUUACACUUUAACUGUACAAGUUCCACCAAAUGCUCCUGUACUUUAUGUUACGAGCUCAACAUCUAGCAGUGUUUUGCUUCACUGGAAAUCAGGAUAUAAUGGAGGUACACCACUUACUGGAUACAGUUUGCAUUAUAAAACUACUCAUGGAAACUUGGAUGAACUUCAACUGCCCCGACGAGCAACAAAUCACGAAUUAAAAAAUCUACUAUGUGGCAACAUGUAUCAGCUGUACCUGACCUCGCACAAUAAAAUUGGUAGUAGCCCACCAUCCCCAGUACUUUCAGUUAGAACCCAGGGUCAACCACCAGGAAUUCCUGCAGCUUCUACAUUCCUAUCACCAAACUCAACAACUCUAGCUCUUCGCUUACACAUGUGGCCAGACAAUGGAUGUCCAAUUGUAUAUUUUGUCAUUGAAUAUCGUCCGAUAAAUGAAUAUCACUGGACUCUUGUUUCUAAUAAUGUUAAAAUGCAACGAAGAUUCUUAGUCACAAAUUUAUCACCAAGUACUGUUUACCAAUUGAAAAUUGAAGCAUACAAUAUUGCUGGAAAUAAUCAAGCUGAAUUUAGUUUUGUCACUCUAACAAAAGAUGGUGAAGCACCACCUCCAGAAUUAUCUGAACGUGGCAUCAUAUCAGUAUUACCAUUCUAUGCUGAUAUGAAAAUAAUGUUACCAAUUAUUGUCGCAGCAUUUGCAUUGUUUGCGGUUUUUUCUGUUGUUAUAAUGCGAUGGAAAAAUCAACAUUUGGGGGACCGGAACGCGCGACCAAUGAAAGAAACACAGGAGAAUCAACAGAACGCGGAGACACAGAGGGAACGGUAUUACGCGACUAUUCACAAAGUCGCAUUCUCACAAGCUGCCGGAGAUACGGACAAGAUUCCAGGUGGGUUACAGGUUUCCUAUUCUGAUUCUAGAGAACAGCGAAGAUAUCAGCCCGUACGCUACGUUCCAGCUUUCGGAGGGGGGAGGGGGAGGCCUGGCAGGGCUGGGAGGAUUGGGCAGUCUAGGAAUGGCAGAGGCCUCGGCUGCGGGUCUUCAUCCGAACAAUACUCUGCUUCACAGUUUCAUGUAUCACGAGCAUGCGAUGACAGAGGGAUGUGCGAGUCCCCCACCGAUGGCAUCGAGUAUGAAGAGUGUAUCAUCGAGGAGGCGUCAGCAGAGGAAGCAACAUACUCCCGGAGACGACAGCGACGAGAGUGAGUCUGAUCCAGAUCAGCAUACUCGUUCGAGAACAGAAUCAGCGAAUCAAUUGGAUGCGGGGAAACUCAAGCACAUUCGAGCAGUCUCAGACUUUAUUUAUCACGGAACGUCGAGCACAUCUUCCGACAUUUCACCAAUGUGCGAACAAAAAUCACUACCAAGACGAGGACGUUCCAG